UAGAAUUGUUUAAAUUAAAUAAUUGAAGCCAACAAGAGAUUCCAUAGCAUUGAGUCAUGUCAGACUGAGGGCCCUUCCAGACAGGCCCUAUAUUCCAGGAUCUGAUCCCAGGUUUUCUAUUUAUCCCAAAUUAUCUGGCAGCGCAGACUCUUAUUAUUCAGAAAACCUGUGUUAAUUCUACAGUGUGUAAAUGCACUCAAAGACUGCUUGUACUGUAUGGAUCAGGAGUAUAUCAAGGAGCCAGGAAAGACAAAGAUCCACAUGGCACCUUAGUGAGAAACUCACUGGCUGAUGUCAACUAGGACACCAGAAGAGUAAGCCACAAGGAUAACCUUUACUCGACAAUGGAAAUAGGAAAAAAUACCAACAAAAGGCCUCUGGUUAGACAAGCUCCACGAAAUUUAUGAUAUGGACAGAUUAACAUAUUUAUUUAAAGAAAACAGAGGCGAACCAUAAAGAUGACAGACUGGAUAAAAUAUGAAGCAUAUAGAAAAUCAGCAAUGGACUAAAAGAAUCAAAGAGAAACCGGUGAACUCAAAUUACGAUGGAGACCAAUAAACAAUUACCCUUUCUCAUUGUCUUUCCUCAUUUCAUCCAAUUUCAAAACUUUUUUUCCUUUUUAUUUUUUCUUUCUAUCUUUCUCCCCUUUUCCUCUCCCCACUCACUUCCACCUUUUUUUUUUACCCAUAUAUACUUUUUAUGUAAAGCAUGUAAAAUCUGAAUAAAAAUAAAAUUUAAAUAAUAAUAAUAAUAAUAAUAAUAAUAAUAAUAAUAAUAAUAAAAACUUUAUUUCUA